rnacentral:lncRNA from 1 species
UUAGAUAUUUAAUUAAACUGCAGAGUAUUUUCGGAUCGACCACAUGCUCAACAAUCGAUCGAUCCGUAAAAGAUGAUCGAUCUCCUUGGCCAGGUAAGUACAAUUUUAGCAAAAAUAUCUUUGAUUUUCAAAUAUUAAGUAUAUAACUAUUCUUUUGAAUAUUUUUUUUUGAAUUGUAUUUUUUGAUUAAAUUAUUGUAUUAUAAUGUUUAUG